GUAGGAACUUCGGGACCCUUGGGGGCAUCGUGUGAGCGUGGUGCGGGCGAGAAGGGGGGUGAGAAAGGGCCUGUGGGCCCCUUCAUCCUCAUUGGCCGCCCAUUUCUCCUCAUUCCCGCAAACACGCAGCGGCACACCCAAGUGGCAUUUGUACCUCUUUCUUGCUUUUCUUCCCGGAAGCCAUGAGAAUUGCAUAACACUCAGCCUUGUGAGAUCCGGACCAGCGAGAGAGAGGGCAUCACGUAGGGCACUGCCUUCUCCGACUCUUUAUGUGGCACUGCGGGGGGAUGUGCGGUGUGGGCUGCACGGAGACCCCAAUAGUUCCUGCUCAGGGCUGGCAGGGUGGGGGCUUUGUUGCACACCCCACCCCACCCCCACCUCAGCCACAGAGGUCAGGGCUGCUGAGGGAGUAGGCUGACCUCAGAGCUGGCAGCCACGGGGGACCUGAGUGACCUUUCAGGGUGAGCCUGGACACGGCCGAGGGACCAGCAUGGCCACUUGCUGCUGGCCCAGCCCAGUAAGACAGUGGCUCCUCAGGGUACUGCAAGAACCAGGGUCGAGUGCGGAGACCAGGGACACAGUUGGCCUGGAGGGCUUCCACAGGUGUGGCCCUGACCUCGGCCCGGGACAAAGCCCUCGAGACCCCUCAGUUCCAGUCACGGAGACCCCACCCCCUCCACUGGGGCAAAGGCGCCCUCCGUCUCCAGCGCUGCUGUCUGCUGCAGGCUCCUGGCUGCGUUCUCUCAAUCCUGCACUUGCAGGUAGAGGCUGAGGGACACAAGGCACCGCAGGGCAGUGUGCUUGCCCACCUCUGGGGUCAGCUGCCCUCAGGGACCCUCCCGGCCAGUCCCAGCCACAUCUUUCCAGGGCUCCAGCCCCUGCACCAGACUCAGUGGCCCUGGGUGGCCCUGCCCUGCGCCUGGCACAGGCCUGUGUCGUGAUGUUCUGUGAUCAGUGCAUGAGUGCUGCAGGAUAAUUGAGGCCUCCACCCAAACAAAGAAGACAUGAAAGGUGACCAAGAUGCUGUUGGGAGACAUCAUCCCAAGAUUUUGGGUACUCCUGUCCUUAGGGUCACACAAUGGACCAACAUUCAUAGCCAAGAAAGUCCAGGAGUUCACACUGAUGUUAAAGAAAUGAGAUCAAGUCCUGCCCAUGGUCCUCCUCUGAGUCCAGUACACCCCCACCAAACAAACUGGGCAUUCCCCUUAUGAGAUUCUAUAUGACCAGCCACCCCCCAAUCAUAGGUCAAAUUAAAGG
rnacentral:lncRNA from 1 species